rnacentral:tRNA from 1 species
CGGGGUGUAGCGCAGCUUGGUAGCGCGCCUGCUUUGGGAGCAGGAUGUCGCGGGUUCAAAUCCUGCCACUCCGA